UUGUUGCUGUGUUGAACACUUGCUCCCGUCUACUUACUUCUCUAUAAUCCACGGGUAAGCCACAUCUAAUGAAGAGAAUGUUUAACCAUAAAGUCUUAAGGAAAAAUUUUAUUAUUUAAAAGAUUAUAAAACUUUAUUACUGGGCUGUUUACACAACAUUUUAAUUGUUUUUCAUAAAAUAUAUAACAUUACAAUCUUUACUGAAGUAGGAUGUUUUUGUAUCACAUGUGUGAUGAUAAUUUAUAGGGUAAUUUAAAUGAUGUUUUUUAGCCUCCUUAAGUUUUAAGUGGAUCUUGCAAAUGAACACCAGUAUUAUUGAGUUUGACGUACUCAAAUUGCCCAAAUGUCAGCUGUUUAAACAGCCAAACAACCAAGUCAUCAUUGAUACUUUAGUAAAGGUCAUCGAAGGCUUCUUUGCAUUUUACAGCUUUUACUACUUAGGGGAGUUAAGGAGUACCUGCCAGGCUUGUCCAUGCUAAUGUGACAAUUUUCUUUUUGUAGUUGAACCGUAUUUUGUGGGGAGAUACUUUGAGUCUCUGUAAAUAUCCAGUUACUCCUCAGAACCCACUAGAUGUAGCAUUUCAUGGAUGACUUGUGUUUGAACAAUUAUUACUAUGAUGGUUGCCAGAUGAUUAUUUUCUUCUCUUCUUUGCUGUACAUGGAGAAGUAAAACCAAUAAAUAACUGAGAAGGGAAAGCUCAUGAUUCUCAUGCUCCCAUUCCCCAAGAUUAGGCCAGUGGUAGACAUUUCAAGCUGACUUCAUGUCUUUUUUAUUUGUCUUAUUACUCUGUCAGCACUUUUUUAGUUUCUGGAACAAGAUGUUCUAAGCUAAUCUUGUAUUUUCUCUGCUCCAGCCAUGGAAUGAGUGAUUUUUCUUAGAAGCAGAGGUGGAGCCACUGAAGAAGCACAGGCGAGCGCUCCCCAGCACGUGCUCACUGGUCCUCAACAGAACAACCGCUGCCGCAUCCAUGAGGCUCCCAUUGUGGUGGGUUGUGUCACCCCACAAUGUCACUGUUGCUGAGCCCCCAUCACCUCUGUGUUGUGGAGCAGUUAGAGACACACUGUGGUGUCUUGAGUGGCUCUGCGUGAAGGACCGUUUUCUAGGUGAGAGGCACAUCUCAACACAGCUGACUGAUCAGACUCAGGUACAGAAACCACAAACUGAUCGGCUGACAAAAAGGGGAAGAGGAGAGGCAACCAGAAACCUUCGCGGACUGGUUCCCUCCAUGCCCAGGUCUCUUCUCCCCAGCACAGCUCAGCCCACAGCCUGGAAGUGCCAGCGGGGACCUUCACCCUACAUGCAUCAGGAUACGGCCUUGAUCCCUUCCCCCACAGCCCGGUGGCUCAGUCCUGCGAAGGAACCAAAGCAAGGGGAGGUGGGGGAAAAAACCCUGCUGCCUGAUCCCACGCUGCCACUCACAGACCCUCGGUUGACUGGCAGCACUGAACAGGUUAAAAAAAAAAAGAUGAGAACACAGAAAAACCCAACACCCAGACGGGGAGACCAUGUGUGGAGAGAGCGUGCUGGGAGCCUCAGUAGCCGGUCUCCUCCUGGUAGUAAGGGGCCUCCCCUGGCCCUGGGCUGUUGCCGGCCGAGGGAGCCCCGUGGGCCACUGGGCCACCAGGCUAGUAGUUGGGUUCGUAUAUUUGUCGGCCUAGGCCAAAGACCUGGCCGCUGUGAUUGGCAACCUGCGUGUAGCCCAUCUUCAGGGACAUGGAGGAGUUCUCACACUUGUCGAUUCCCAACUUGGUGUCAUAGAUGUGCCGCUGGGUCCCGGGAGCCCUCAUGCCCACCUGGCUGGCGCACUUGUUUGUACCCAUCUGGAUGCUGAUGGUCGAGUUGUCCAUGGGGGGCAGGAUGCGGUUCUUGGGGUGUAGAGAUGCCUCUUCGUGCCAUAUGCGGUCAUGCCUGACUGGCUGGCACAUUUGUUGGUAAUCUGCAGCUGGAUGACGCACUGGCUGGCCUUCAUGGGCCAGUCGAAGUUCUGCUUCUCUGAGUACUUGUCACGGAUGUCCACCCCGCUCUGCAGCCCCUUAGUCUUGGCCUUCCCUGCCAGGGCGAGAAGAGACACCCGCACCUGCAUAUUGUUCCCACUCUCAAACAGGUCGUUGGCCUCAAAUAGGUCCACAGGAUCAUGCCGUAGCUGACCAUGGCCUUGAGGAAGUUGGAGAGGUUUUCUAGCUAGUGCCAGUUCUACACGGAAGCCGUUGAUCUUGGGGACUGAGCCCGGCUGCAGUUUGUUCACGAGUGUGCAUAAGAUAAUCCCGUCCUUCAGGCCCUUCUGGAAGUCGGGGCGGAUGGAGAGGCCAGUAAAUCCCUUGAUCCAGCUGCGGAGCUCUGCCUCCUUCUGGGAGUCAUAUUUGGGCAGAAGCCUGUUCUGGACCUCCGCCAAGAGCCUGUAGGAGGGGCCCUUGUUGAACUGCGUGGAGCUUACGGCUGGAGGGCGCCGCCGCGGGGCGGAUCCGACAGGACCAGCGGCUAAGUCUUUUUUCUAGUUCGCAAUGUUUUGUUUUCACCACACCAUUGUUUUACUACAUAUUUUAUUGUAUGUGUAUUGUGUUAAAUACACAUUUUGUGUAUUUAAAAAUGUGUGGAAAAUGUUAGACCAUCUCCCUUUUCUCCACCUUCCCUUUUACCCUUUACUGCCAUUUACAUCCACACAUCCACACACACAUACAUCCACACAUCCACACACACAUACAUCCACACACACACAUACUGACCAAAAUUAAUUUCGAUGUACGAAUGGGUUAUUUGAAGCGAAAAGUCAAUCUAUAUUAGUAAAAGUGUCAUGCCAGUAUGAAUUAUAUUUAUAAUCACUUCAAGAAGAAAGAACUUCCGGCCGGGCGCUGUGGCUCACGCCUGUAAUCCCAGCACUUUGGGAGGCCGAGGCGGGCUGAGGUCAGGAAUUCAAGACCAGUCUGGCCAACAUGGUGAAACUUCGUCUCUACUAAAAAUACAAAAAAUUAGCUGGGUGUGGUGGCGGGCGCCUGUAAUCCCAGCUACUCGGGAGGCUGAAGCAGAGAAUUCCUUAAACCCGGGAGGCGGAGGUUGCAGUGAGCCAAGAUUGUGCCACUGCACUCUAGCCUGGGCGACAGAGCAAGACUCCGUCU
ensembl:lincRNA